AAAAUGAAACUGCGAAUGGCUCAUUAAAUCAGCUACGGUUCCUUUGAUAAGCACAGUUACUUGGAUAACUGUGGUAAUUCUAGAGCUAAUACAUGCAACAAUGCCCAACCUUUGCGGGAAGGGUGCACUUAUUAGAUCAAAACCAACCUGGCUUCGGCUGGAAGUUUUGAUGACUCUGGAUAAUUGUUUCGAUCGCACGGCCUAAGCGUCGGCGACGUUUCUUUCAAAUGUCUGCCCUAUCAACUAUAGAUGGUAGGCAAAUUGUCUACCAUGGUUAUAACGGGUAACGGGGAAUCAGGGUUCGAUUCCGGAGAGGGAGCCUGAGAAACAGCUACCACAUCCAAGGAAGGCAGCAGGCGCGCAAAUUACCCACUCUCAAAACGAGGAGGUAGUGACAAAAAAUAACGAUGCGGGACUCAAUCGAGGCCCCGUAAUCGGAAUGAGUACACUUUAAAUCCUUUAACGAGGAUCAAUUGGAGGGCAAGUCUGGUGCCAGCAGCCGCGGUAAUUCCAGCUCCAAUAGCGUAUAU
rnacentral:rRNA from 1 species